GACGAACCGUGCGAACGUUGUUCGGAUUCACUGGGCUUAAAGGGCGCGUAGGCGGCUCGCCAAGUCAGGGGUGAAAUCUUUCGGCUCAACCGGAAAACAGCUUCUGAUACUGGCGGGCUGGAGGGAGGUAGGGGCAGAUGGAACUUCCGGUGGAGCGGUGAAAUGCGUAGAUAUCGGAAGGAACACCGGUGGCGAAGGCGGCAUCCUGGACCACGACUGACGCUGAGGAGCGAAAGCCAGGGGAGCAAACGGG
rnacentral:rRNA from 1 species